AAACUCAAAGGAAUUGACGGGGGCCCGCACAAGCGGAGGAACAUGUGGUUUAAUUCGAUGAUACGCGAGGAACCUUACCUGGGCUUAAAUGCAAAACGACGGAUCGGGAAACUGAUCCUUCUUCGGACGGCUUGCAAGGUGCUGCAUGGCUGUCGUCAGCUCGUGCCGUGAGGUGUCGGGUUAAGUCCCAUAACGAGCGCAACCCCCAUCAUUAGUUGCCAGCGGAUAAUGCCGGGGACUCUAAUGAAACUGCCGGUGUAAACCGAGAGGAAGGUGGGGAUGACGUCAAGUCAGCACGGCCCUUAUGUCCAGGGCUACACACGUGUUACAAUGGUCGGUACAAAGGGCAGCUACCUGGUGACAGGAUGCUAAUCUCUAAAACCGAUCUCAGUUCGGAUCGAAGUCUGCAACUCGACUUCGUGAAGCUGGAUUCGCUAGUAAUCGCGCAUCAGCCAUGGCGCGGUGAAUACGUUCCCGGGCCUUGUACACACCGCCCGUCAAGCCAUGGAAGCUGGGGGUACCUGAAGUCCGUAACCGUAAGGAGCGGCCUAGGGUAAAACUAGUAACUGGGGCUAAGUCGUAACAAGGUA
rnacentral:rRNA from 1 species